UCUUAAUUGUUUUCUAAAUUUGAAACUGUAAUUUGUAAUUGUAAUUCCCAGCAUAGCGCAUAUGCGAGGGUAAUCACAACAACUCAAGAGAAAAACAACACCCUAUUAAAUCAAAUUAAAAAAAAAACAAUUUGAAGCAUCGAAGGAAGAAAUAGAAAAAAAUGGAAGGACUGAAAUGAAAUAAAACCUUGUUGGAUGCUAUCAAUUGCCUUGUUCUUUUAGCUUUCUGUAUAAUGUAAUGGGCAGGUCUUAUUACUUGAGUGUGUGAUGCAAGAGAUAGUCAUUGCAGAUUUUAGUUGCCCAAGCUUGAUCCUUUGUGGAGUUCCUUGCAAGUCUUUUUUUUUUUGACCUUAUUCAUAAUUUUCAAAAAAAAAAAAACAUUUACCGAUCAUAUCUUUAGAUUAAUGUGUUAUUGGAAGCAAAGAGGAGCUAGUAUCAUUCGUGCAGGGUCACAGUGAUCUUCAUCAGCCUUCCAUUCCUUUCUCUCUUUGCUAGCUGGCUUCCCAACAGAGCUAAAGGCCUUCUUCCUUUUGUUCCUCUCGCUAUAUUUUAUUAUUGGGCAGUCAGUACCAGUGCUUUCCGCAUAUAUUUUCACAAAUUAAGACUGGUGGAAAAUGGCUAUCGAAUGUGUUGGUGGAUCUAUUGUAUCUAAGAUAGCAGAACUCUUGGUGGAACCAGCAAUCAAGCAGUUCCGUUACAUGUUCUGUUUCAACAAUUUUGUUCAAGAAUUCGAUGAACAAAUGAAGAACCUGGCUUUGGCAUUUUAUCGUCUGCAAGAUGCUGUCGACGUUGCUCAACGGAAUGCUGAAGAAAUUGAGAUUGAUGUCAACACAUGGCUGGAAGACGCAAAAAACGAAAUUGAAGGUGUGAAACGUUUGCAAAAUGAAAAAGGAAAAAUUGGCAAAUGCUUUACUUGGUGCCCAAAUUCGAUGCGACAAUUCAAGUUAAGCAAGGCACUAGCAAAGAAGACGGAGACUUUGCGAAAACUUGAAGAAAAUAGCAGAAAGUUUCCAAAAGUGUCGCACAAAGCACCUCUUCAAGACAUAGAAUUUCUUCCAUCAGAGGGACUCACACCCUCGGAAUCAUCAAAAGAAGCUUUCGAACAGAUAAUGAAAGCUCUCAAAGAUGACACUGUCAAUAUGAUCGGACUGUACGGCAUGGGAGGGGUGGGUAAAACAACCCUGGUCAAAGAAGUAGGUAGGGGAGCCAAAGAGUUGCAGCUUGUUGAUGAAGUUUUGAUAGUCACGGUGUCCCAGAAUCCAAAUGUCACAGACAUGCAGGAUCAAAUGGCAGUUAUUUUAGGUCUGGAUUUUGACGGAAAGAGUGGAAAGGGGAGAGCAGGUCGGUUAUGGCAGAGACUUCAGGGAAAGAAGGUGCUUAUAAUCCUCGAUGAUGCUUGGAAAAAUAUUGACUUGCAAGAGAUAGGGAUCCCAUUUGGUGAUGCUCACAGGGGUUGUAAAAUUCUUCUAACAACUCGUCUUGAACACAUAUGUUCUUCUAUGAAGUGCCAGCAAAAAGUGUUAUUAAGAGUCUUAUCUGAAAAUGAAGCAUGGGCUUUAUUGAAAAUCAAUGCAGGUUUACGUGAUGAAGACUCUGACUUGAACAGAGUGGCAAAGGAGGUUGCGAGAGAAUGUAAAGGAUUGCCUAUAGCACUUGUGACAGUCGGAAGGGCUCUAAGAGAUAAAUCUGCAGUUGAGUGGGAAGUAGCAUUUGAUCAGCUAAAAAAGUCUCAAUUUCCGGACAUGGAACAAAUUGAUGAACAAAAAAAUGCAUAUGCAUGUCUUAAGUUGAGCUAUGAUUAUUUGAAGCACGAGAAAACCAAGUUAUGUUUCUUGCUAUGCUGUUUAUUUCCAGAAGAUUACAAGAUUCCAAUUGAGGACUUGACAAGAUACGCAGUUGGCUAUGGGUUACAUCAAGAUGGGGAGUCCAUUGAAGAUGCAAGGAAACGAGUUUAUGUGGCGAUCAAAAACCUCAAAGCUUGUUCUAUGCUGUUAGGAACUGAAACUGAAGAAUAUGUGAAAAUGCAUGACUUGGUUCGUGAUGUUGCUAUUCAGAUAGCAUCAUCAGAAAAAUACGGAUUCAUGGUGAAGGCUGGCAUUGGGUUGAAGGAGUGGCCAACGGGCAAUAAAAGCUUUGAAGGCUGUACAACAAUCUCGUUAAUGGAGAAUGAACUAGCAGAACUUCCUGAAGGAUUGGUGUGUCCACAGCUCAAAGUUCUAUUGUUAGGACUGUAUCGUGGUUUGUAUGUUCCAGAGAGUUUUUUUGAAGGGAUGAAAGCAAUUGAAGUUUUGUCUCUAGAGGGAGGGUGUUUGUCAUUGCAAUCACUUCAAUUCUUGACGAACCUUCAAUCGUUGCUGUUGUUCGAGUGUGAAUGCAAGGACCUUAUCUGGUUGAGAAAGCUGCAAAAACUUAAGAUUCUUGGUUUUACAGGGUGCGACUCUAUUAAUGAAUUACCUGAAGAAAUUGGGGAUCUCAAGGAGUUAAGGUUGUUGGAUGUUACAGCUUGUGAAUUCCUAAGAAGGAUUCCUGUGAAUUUGAUUGCAAGGUUGAAGAAGUUAGAAGAACUGCUGAUCGGGGAUUUCAGCUUCGAGGGAUGGGAUGUUGUUGGAUGUGACAGCGCAGAAGGAAUCAAUGCAAGCCUAACAGAACUAAGUUCGCUGUCUGAUUUAGCUGUAUUAUCAUUGAAGAUACCGAAGGUUGAAUGCAUUCCCAGAAAUUUUGUUUUUCCCAGGUUGCUUAAAUAUGAUAUAGUGUUAGGGGAUGGGUAUUCAGAACUCGAUAAAGAAUACCCAACCUCGACGAGAUUAUAUGUGGUUGAUAUAAGCGCCACAUCCUUAAAUGCAAAGACAUUUGAGCAGUUGUUUCCUACCGUGUCUCAUAUUUAUUUUCGGAGUGUGGAGGGUUUAAGAAAUAUAGCAUUGUUCUCUGAUCAGAUGACCACCCAUGGCCAUGGGUCGCAAAAGGACUUCUUACAAAGAUUAGAACAUGUCGAAGUGAGCGGAUGUGGGGAUAUUCGCAUUCUGUUUCCAGCAAAAUGGCGGCAAGCUUCGAAGAAUCUAAGGAGUGUGGCAAUUGCAUACUGCAAAUCAUUGGAAGAGGUAUUUGAAUUGGGUGAGGAGAAGGAGCUGCCGCUACUGUCAUCUUUAACAACGUUACGGUUGUCAGUUUUAACUGAGCUCAAAUAUAUAUGGAAGGGGCCCACUAGACAUGUCAGCCUCGAAAGUCUUAUUAUUCUGGAGUUGUGUUCUCUUCACAAACUGACAUUUAUCUUCACACCGUCCCUCGCUCAAAGUCUUAUUCAUCUAGAAACACUACAGGUAACACAUUGUCGUGGAUUGAAGCGUCUUAUCAGAGAAAAGGAUGACGAAGGGGAAAUAAUUCCAGAGUCUCUUCGCUUCCCAAAAUUAAAAGCUCUUUAUAUACGGGGCUGUGAUGAACUGGAAUAUGUCUUCCCUGUCUCCGUGUCUCCAAGUCUUCAGAACCUGGAAGAGAUGGAGAUUUAUUUUUAUGUCAAUUUAAAGCAAGUAUUUUACAGUGGAGAAGGAGAUGACAUCAUCGUCAAGUCUAAAAUUAAAGAUGGCAUCAUCGACUUCCCUCAGCUAAGAAAAUUGUCUCUUUCAAAGUGCAGCUUGUUUGGUCCAAAGGAUUUUGCUGCCCAAUUGCCUUCUUUGCAAGAGCUAACCAUUGGUGGCCUCGAAGAAGGGGGUAAUUUGUUGGCACAGCUUCAAGGGUUAACAAGUGUGGAAACAUUAACUUUGUCCUUCGUGCUUGUGCCUGACUUGAGGUGUAUAUGGAAGGGGCUCAUGCUGAGCCAUUUGACUUCUUUGACGGUGUAUAGCUGUAAGAGACUGACACGUGUAUUCACACAUAGCAUGAUUGCUAGUCUACUUCAACUGCAAGUUCUAAAGAUAUCAGAUUGUGAGGAAUUGGAGCAAAUUAUUGCCAAGGAUAAUAAUGAUGAAAAGCAUCAGAUAUUGUCAGAAAGUGAUCUCCAAUCUGCAUGCUUUCCUAAUUUGUGUCGACUUCAGAUCACUCGAUGCAACAAGUUGAAGAGUCUCUUCCCAGUAGCCAUGGCUUCAGGUCUCAAAAAGCUCCAAAUACUUGAAGUAAAGGAAUCCUCUCAAUUAUUAGGAGUAUUUGGGCAGGGUGAUCAUGCUUCACCUGUCAAUGUUGAGAAGGAGAUGGUGCUCCCUGAUCUGCAGGAGUUGUUGCUUGUACAAUUACCAAGUAUUUCCUGCUUUAGUCUCGGAUGUUAUGAUUUCUUGUUCCCUCAUUUGAAGAAGUUGGAGGUGCAUGGAUGCCCAAAGCUUACCAUAGAAUCUGCUAUUACAUCAAAUGAUUGAGGGUUCCAGCACUGGUUGCUCCGUGCCAACCAGCACUUGUAGAACGUGGACCUCGUAUAAUGGGUGGAAAGAGGAAAAAGAGGAAGAGGAUGGAGUCAGAUGAUUAGUUUGGCAUUGGAAUUUGAAAAACAUGCUACUAAUUCAUUCUUCCAGGUUGGUUGGUUACCUAUGUGAUGUGAUCAACUCGACAUUGGUGGGAAGUAAUUCCAGCUGUUUCAUUAGCUACAACAAUGUCUUAUUUCAUGUGUUUGUUGUGUGAACUUCCAGAAUAAGGGUAAUGUCAUGUAAUGUCAUGUGUUUUGUAAUUUAUUGUGCGAACUUCCAGAAAUGUUUACUCAUUUGUGUGCUUAUUGUCUGAACCUUCAAAAGCAAGGGCAUAAUGUUUACUCAUUUGUGUGCUUAUUGUUGAAUGUGUGGAUUCUCAUUCUCCUCA